CCCCUAGACGUUCUGGGCUGCACGCGCGCUACAAUAAUACGCACAGCGAGUAUCACCGAGCUCGAAAGGGCAAGGUAAACAAUAGAAAAGGUACUGUAAUGGUUAUAGAUCCUUGUAAUUAUUGAUCUUCAACGAGGAAUUCCUAGUAAGUAUGUGUCAUCAUCACGCACUGAUUACGGCCCUGCCCUUUGUACACACCGCCCGUCGCUCCUACCGAUUGGGUGAGCCGAUGAAACUCUCGGAUGUAGGCUAUUCAUAGCCCGCAGAAGAGAUUUGAAUCGUAGCGCUUAGAGGAAGGAGAAGUCGUAACA
rnacentral:rRNA from 1 species